rnacentral:ribozyme from 1 species
UCAGUAAAUAAAGAAAAAAAAUAUGUUACUACCUUGGUUUACUGAUUUGAUUUGAUUUGUUUUUUGUUCAUGCUUCUUCAGCUGUCCGUGUAUGGGUUUUCGUCAAGAUUUUCCAGGAGGUUGCCUGAGUAGCUUUUAUUUUGAAGGCGCUACUAUAAAGACAAUGACUCG